rnacentral:lncRNA from 1 species
AUAGCAACAGCAGCGUAGCUGAACAUCUUACGGAUGGCCCAGGGCUCCAAAGGCUCGUUUCCUAAGUGAGAGAGAGCCUGGCUGAAGCUGUAUUACCAUUCAUUCUCCAGCCUCCGAAGUCUCAAAGCAUCACUUCCACCAUACUCUAACUGUCAAGACAAACACAAAGGCCCAGAAACUGCCAGACUGUCUUCUGAAGUGGCUAUAAUAUUUACACUCCCAUCAGCAGUGUAGAAGGGGUCUCACUAUGUUGUCUGGAGUGCUGUGGUGGAGUGGAGUGGCUAUUCACAGCUGAGUUUGCAGAGUAAACCACUACCCUGAAAUCUGGAAAGGCAGGUGCACCCACAGAUCCUCAGCUGAGAUCCAAUUACCUGAAAUAGAAGCUGCCAUUAGGAACACUUAAAAGAGCCUGUUCUGCUGGGACACAGAAUCACUUGCUCCAUCUCAUACAUUGAUGAUGAUUAAUUUGUAUGUGUACCUUCCAAAAAAGAUGGUUGUGUUUGAAUGGAGGCCUUCUGGACAGGAAAAUAAUCACAUCCUUCCUGAGAUAAUGAGCACACAAUUGCCUGGAUACCUGAAGGAAUGGAGACAGCGGCAGAAAACACUGCAGAGAGGUGGAAACAUCCGUUAAUAUUUUAAAAUCCCAUUACUGCUACCAACAAUAAUAAUGGAUGCAUAGAAAUAGAUCUGGAUUAGCUGAGCUUGAAACAGUCCAUCUCACACACACACAAAAGAAUUUCAGAUACAGUGAACCCACAUGUUGAAGCUUUCUAGUAUAAUAAAAAUUUCAACUGUUCUGUUGAAUCAUCUGCCUGAUUGGAGGCUACAGAAAAGAUGUCAUCUUAGGAGUGCUUGCUCUGAGUGAGGCUCAUCUUCAAAUCUGAAUGACCACAAGGAGAUUUGAUUAUACAUGUGAACACCUCAGAAGGCACAGCCCACCCAGAAGGCAGACAGAAGAAGCUGCCAGGAAGACUGUGAAAUCUUCAUGCCCAAGGAUCCCUAAAAUUAGGAGCAACAACCACUUGGCUCAGACGGUUUAUGGAGGCAAAGGUUUGGAUGGGAUUAGAGAUUUCUAAAUGUGAGUUCGUGUCCUCUGCCAGACCACCUUACUUCCACCAUUCCUCAGCAAAUCAAGAAAAACAGGAGAAAAGACAUGCCUUUCCAUAAGUUAAAUCUAUUCUGUUUUAAUUCUAUAUUAUAUCUGCUGUACAACUUCUUUUGUUUGUAACACCAUAUUGUUGCUAGUAACUGGAAAUUAAUUUUCACAUGCCUCAGCUUAGAAAAAUAAAAAGCAGCCCUGCAUCAAUCCCAA